CAACUCUUUCCUCUCUUUUCCCCGCUGUUUUCUCGAAGGCGUCGGCCGCUCCUCAAAGCCCCGGCCGGGCCGCGACCGACAAGACCCAGCUUGUUCGCCGCACACACACCUGCAUCACUUUUUCACGGAAUGCUCUCGCUUGUCGCGUCGUCUUUCCUUCGUUUUGCCGCGGAAGUCGAAUGCAGAAGAGCCGAGCCACCGAAUGAAUCUCCAGCAAAAACUCUCGAGCGCCGUCCCUGCGCCCGCCGAACGAGAAAAACUGUAGGCAGGAGUGUGCGGAGAGGCCGACUGAGAGAGACCAGGGGCGACAGGGGCUGUUGACUCGCGAUGAAAACAACAAACUUCGGGACCAGCGCCUGGGGAACGUUUGCAUUCAAAGCCUCCCUCCGCAGAACUGCUUCCAAAAAAGGAGAGCGCGGCAGACGAAACGACGGAGGCGCGAGAGCGACGGAGACGGAGAGAAAAUACGAGGAGACAGACUGGCGCAUUCGCGGACGUUCUGCUGCUUUCAGAGACUACGAGCUCCCCCGCAUUCAAGCGAACCUGAAAACUUUCCGGAGAGCUGUCUCUCGACUCUGUGAUGGACGUUUCAAAAUCUGUUGUAGCGCUCCUUUCCGGUGUCUCGACGCCUCGAUCUGGGCACCGAGGCGAGCCCACAGCCUGCGGCUAGCCUGCUUUUCUUCUCGCCGAAGACGCAGUCACGCCGCCAGCCGCCAAGCUUUCUUGAAAGAGGACGACGCGGAAAAAGAAACCGCGACGCAGACAGCGAGUGAGUGGACGGACGAGUGGCGGUGCUUCGCGUUGCGCCUCCCGGAACGACCCCCGGCUCCCCUUCCACGGGGAUUCCUCGCCCUGCGGGCGUAAACGCUGAGAGCGCCUCGCUCUCUCGACAGACGCCACCCAACUGCACUUGUAACUCGACUUCUGUUCAUCUAUAUCUGUCUCUCUGUCUCUGUCUCUCUGGUUUCCUAUCUACAUAUAUAUACAUAUAUAUAUAUAUACGUAGAUGUACGUAUAUGUGUUUCUGUAUCUACUUCUGCAUGGCUCUGUGUGUGUAUUUCCAUCUACAUUCGACUCUCUUUAUGUGUGAAGAGUUGUUUGCCUUCUUGUGCGCGCGUACUUGUUUGUGGCCUGUCUAGCGCGUGUAGCGCGCCUCGCCUGUGAAGCUCUGAGCUUGUCUUGGAGUCGAGUUCUGCGGCCAGGCACUCGCGUCCACGCAAGGACAGAAAACGUUUCGAGCGAAACGGCGCGUUUCUACGCAUGCAGGCUCGCAAAAACGACUGGAGGACGAGCGCUGGAGGGUGCGAGAACGAGGUGUACGUACACCCGAGCAGCGACGCCUGCGCCGAACGAUGCAGGGUGUGUACACCCGGUUUCGAUCCCUGUCAACGUAGGUUUUGCGAGCCGGUUCUCGCCGUGGUCUGGCCUGCACCAUUUCUCGCGAAGGCGGACCGGGCGUUUUGUGUGGCG
rnacentral:lncRNA from 1 species